GAAUAAAUCACCCCGACGAAGAAAGCCGAAUUCGUCAAAUUGUGAUCUCAUUCCGAUUUAUCUCCUUGAUCGAGAGGGUUCAUGUUGUAGAUCUUGUCAAGGUGAUAAAAAUUGUGGAUGAUCAUAUUAAUCGAACACUGAUCGACGCAUAAUCGAGGAUCAUUUCUGUGAAGUUGCUUCUAUGAAAAUAGACUAGGCCACACUGUAUGAAACCUAUUUUAGCAAAGGAUACAUUCACUCCGACGAAGGGACGUUUCCCGACGAAGAGAGAGAGAGAGAGAGAGAGAGAGAGAGAGAGAAUGUGGUUGUUCGGCACAGAAGGCCUUCUGGAUUCUCACUCAGUUGUAACAGGUGAAUACAGUUCAGACUUCAGAGAACUCUUGUGGAAGCUUGGGGCUUGAUCAGAGAGACCUUUGUUGAUCCCACCUUCAAUCAUCAAGAUAUAAAGCUGCGACAAACGAUUGUGGAAAUGUUUCCACUUACGUCCGCAGAUGCAGCUUACAACAAGAUUAGUGGAAUGCUUUCAACACUUGGUCUUACGUCCGCAGAUGCAGCUUACAACAAGAUUAGUGGAAUGCUUUCAACACUUGGAGAUCCCUUCAUUCUUCCAGUCAUUCCCAUCCUUUCUCAAACAGUGGUCUCAUUGACAGGACUAAUCGAGCUUCAGUUGCUCCUGCCACUGUGACACCUACCGGGUUGAAUAUGACGAUUUGAAAAGAUUUGGGUCUGUUGUGCAUCUAUCAUUUCAUGGUUGUGGGUAAGUUGCUUUUUGUAAAAACCAAAGGAUGCAAUGUUAUAGGUUGGUUUCUUCGUUGCAUUAUGUCUCGCGGCGCCUACUGUGCUUUCUCAUGUGAUGGUGCUACAAACCCUCCCUCGCCUAUGACUUAAAUCAUGGUGGAUUUUGAAUAGAUGUCAACUUGAAUUGUUUAGACUUUUGGGAUGAGUUUAAAGAUGGGAGUCAGUUAUGUUUUCUUUAUUCACUUCAUGGAAUAAAUUCUCUUUCCCUCUAAAUUGUGUUUUGGUGUUUUAUGAGAACACACUAAUAUGUUCAACGUACCUUGUAAUUGAACCACAACAGUGAUGACAAGCUGCAAACUUGGCUCUCUGUGUUGCCUUUUGGACUGGUGUUUGUUUGAAUUCCCUACAUGAUAUUUUGUUGAAUCUGAUGCUAAAUAGGGCGGCUCAUAUUCUUUUCUGAGGUCUGUUCCUAGAGCUGCUAGCUCAUUCUUCUGAUCAAUCGUUCAUUUGUUCUCAUGGAAGAAGAUCAACUUCUCAUGCAAAUGGAAUUCAUCACCAGCAACAACCGAGCAAUCCACCUGGCACGUCGCCACCUAUCAUUCCCAUUGUCAAGAGUUCCAACAGUCCAAGGGGCUUAGCAACAUUUCAAUCUGAUCAAAGUGGAGGCUUCUUCAACUUCCCUCCUCCAGGUCCAUCAAGCCAAAAACCACAUGAAACAGAACACUCAUUGGUGAGCCGUAUCCAUCUGCGCGAGAGAAACCAUUUGCCUCAUCCAGUUGUCUCAUUUGACUGGGACUCUGUCUGGGGUCUGUUUCGUCAUGCUCAUGGAGGCUCUUCCACCAACAGGUCUGCUAGCUUUUGGGGUAGGCACUGGUCUUUAAAGACAUGCUUACCCUUUUGAAGGUUAUCUGUCAGCCUAUUUAUCCUGGUCUCUGAAGAUUAACAAACUGGAACCAGGAAAUUUGUUUCUGUGCAUUUGGUUUGUCCUGGCAUAUGGCCUGAGAUGCUGAAAAACUGUUCUUGCAAUCAUGUGGCCUGUUGACAACUGGACUUUUUUUUAAAAUAUAGUACUAUUUCUUGGGGAGAAUUUGAAUUGGGUGAUCUGAUCCGUGUUGUUGCUAUGAGAUUUGCUUCAUUAUUGGGAGAUGCAGAGAGGGGCUCACUUGAGCUUGAAUUAAGAUUCUCCUAUGUUGUGUUCAGAGUGAUUUGUGACCUAACAGAGAAUUUAAUCGAAAUAUCAAACUUUCAAAAGUAGGAUUUUAGAA